GAAACCUGCCCGAAGACUGGGAUAGCCCGGGGAAACCCGGAUUAAUACCGCAUGUUCUCUACGGAGAAAAGCGGGCCUCUGAUUCAAGCUCGCGCUUGGGGAUGAGCCUACGUCGGAUUAGCUAGUUGGUAGGGUAAAGGCCUACCAAGGCGACGAUCCGUAGCUGGUUGAGAGGAUGACCAGCCACACUGGGACUGAGACACGGCCCAG
rnacentral:rRNA from 1 species